GACGAACGCUGGCGGCGUGCUUAACACAUGCAAGUCGAACGGUGAAGCGCCUUCCUUUUUGGUGGGUGUGGAUGAGUGGCGAACGGGUGAGUAACACGUGAGUAACCUGCCCCCUUCUUCUGGAUAACCGCAUGAAAGUGUGGCUAAUACGGGAUAUUCUGGGUCUGUCGCAUGAUGGGUCUGGGAAAGAUAUUGUUUCGGUGGGGGAUGGGCUCGCGGCCUAUCAGCUUGUUGGUGGGGUGAUGGCCUACCAAGGCGGUGACGGGUAGCCGGCCUGAGAGGGUGGACGGUCACACUGGGACUGCGACCCGGCCCAGACUCCUACGGGAGGCAGCCGUGGGGAAUAUUGCACAAUGGGCGCAAGCCUGCUGCAGCGACGCCGCGUGAGGGAUGGAGGCCUUCGGGUUGUGAACCUCUUUCGCCAGUGAAGCAGGCCUGCCUCGUUUGUGGGUGGGUUGACGGUAGCUGGAUAAGAAGCGCCGGCUAACUACGUG
rnacentral:rRNA from 1 species